GGCACAGUGGCGGAGUGGUCUGCAUCUGCACUAUAUCAUCAAUAUCAGAACGAUAUCUACGCAGAAGACGCUUGUUCGAUUCAAGCCUGAGCCA